AGAUGCGCCAACAAAGGCUAACAGGCACAUGACGGACAUGAAUCAUACUGUACAUGAAAGCCCAGUGAGAGGCUCUGAACAGAGAGCCCCAGCUGUGGUCCCCAGGCCACCGAGUCAAGAGAGGAUGGAUCAGUGGCCAUGGUGAAUGGAAACUCUGUGGUGACUUGCCUUCCUCCUGAGACCAAAAUGUCUACAUAUGUCUGCCUGUAUCCAUCUAUCCAUCUGUCAAUACACACAUCUCAAUAAAUUAGUGUGUUCAU
rnacentral:lncRNA from 1 species